AGAAUAUGUAUUGAAAUAAUAGCCCUCCAAUAUUCUAUUUAAUUGGCACGGUGAGAAUUUUAUAAAAAGACGCUCUGAUUGAUGAGAUGAACAAAUUCAAACACAAAGGUUUAUUCAGUGAUUUGUAAUUUGCGGAUCUGAAAUGGCUUCAAUUUCGAAGGAUUCGCCAUUUUUUGUGCCAUUCUUUAUUAUCAAAUUAAACUCUCAUCUUGGCCAAUAACAACUAUGAUCUAGCUCAGGAAGCUGAGCAUCUUUACUCUUUGGCUAUAGACUAUGAAGACGUCACCUAUGAAGAGUAUUUACGUACAAUACAUUUUCAACAUUGAGUUCAUGCAACAAACUCAUCUUAAGACCAGAAAAAUUUUAAGACAAAAGAAACUUGAAGUUGUGCUAGGUAGCAGCUUCCUUGACUUUGAAUAACCAAACAAUGGAUUGGCUAAAAGAACCUGAAAAUGUUAUAAAUAGGUACGGGUCAUGUAUCCGAUGAAAUAGUUGAGAUACGCACGGAUACUGUGGCGCCACUAAAAAGGAGAAAGAAAAAAAAGAAACUUGAAAGAGUACGUUAUAAUUAGGUAUUGGUUACGUACGUAUCUGAUGAAAUAGUUGAGGUACGCACGGAUACUAUGGUACAGUUACUGUUAUUGAUGAGUUCCCCUGUAAACUUCACUGUUAUUGUUUUCUCACAGAUAGUUCUCUCUUCUUUCCUCAUCCAAUAAAAGGAUAUUCACCUUCUUUAUAAAUUUAAAUAGUUAAUGAAAAUUCACAGCACCUUGUAACUCCUCGUUGAUUUGCUUUAAUUUUCCCCUUUACUCGUUUAAGCUAGUUUACUUUUUUCUUUUUAUUUAAUUACUUAUUUACUUC